rnacentral:rRNA from 1 species
GAGAUAAUACCUGAUAGAGGAUAAAUACUGGAAGGUUUUAUUCUUCAAAGCUUCGGCACCUGAGGAUGGGACUGCGUCGGAUUAGCUUGUUGUCGGGAUAAUUACCCGACAAGGCGAUAAUCCGUACGGGUUGUGAGAGCAAUAGCCCGGAGAUGGAUUCUGAGACAUGAAUCCAGGUCCUACGGGACGCAGCAGGCGCGAAACCUUCACAAUGCCUGAAAGGGUGAUGAGGGAACUCUGAGUGACUUCGCAAUGCGAAGUCUUUUGCCAAGUGCAAAAAGCUCGGUGAAUAAGUGGUGGGCAAGACAGUUGCCAGCCGCCGCGGUAAUAACUGCGCCACGAGUGGUGAUCUCGUUUAUUGGGCUUAAAGCGUUCGUAGCCGGUUUUAUAAGCAUCUGGUGGAAUCCGAUAGUAAACUAUUGGGCUGGCUAGGUGUACUGUAAGACUAGGGACCGGUAGGGGCCGGGAGUACUCCUAGGGUAGGGGUUAAAUCCUUUAAUCCUAGGGGGACUACCAGUGGCGAAGGCGCCCGGCUAGAACGGGUCCGACGGUGAGGGACGAAAGCUGGGGGAGCGAUCCGGAUUAGAUACCCGGGUAGUCCCAGCUGUAAACGAUGCCCGCUUGGUGUGGUGAAACUUUCGUGGU